CCGGUUGCACCAUGUUUCUUCAUCUUUUCAGCUAACAUGGCUGCAUACUUUGUCGGGUGAAGCAUUAUAAAUGCAGCUCCAAAACAGGCAGAGAAUGUUGCCUGUGGCUCUUUUAUUCCAUCUUCUGUUCCAGCAACCUGUAUUGUAGCCACUGAUGAAAUGGUACAUCGUUUGGGCCAAGCUUAACUUGCUCACCGGUGGGAGCACACCAAACGCAUCACAAGC
rnacentral:lncRNA from 1 species